AGUAGGACGAGUAGAGCUGGGCAAGCAGUCAGCCCCAGAUCUUUGGGAACAGAAACAGCUGGAAAUACCCCAUCGGUUCUAACGUAUAUGGUACAGCCUGCAGAUCAUUUGUAUUCUUCUAAAGGAUGUUAUAAACCUGGCAGAAAAGAAGGACGUGCUUAAGCCAUGGUUUGUCACUCACUGAGAAGACUUGAAGAAGUUUGUUGUCUCACCAGCCCCUAAAGCAGCUGUUUGCAGGAAGGUACAAAGCUUAUCUCCAGCUUUAAAGAACUAGUUAAUUUAUGUCUGAGAAUAUUUGCCAUUUCACUCUG